GGAGAUUUAGCUCAUUGGUAGAGCGCUUGCCUAGCAAGCGCAAGACCCUGGGUUCAGUUCCCAGCUCCA
rnacentral:tRNA from 1 species